rnacentral:lncRNA from 1 species
AAAAGAGAUACGAGGAAAUAAAAAGGAGCAAGUGCCCGGAACCUCGAAAGAAAAGAAAAAGUGAGACGAGAGGUAAAAAUGGACAAGUGUCCGACAGUAGAAUUAGGGGUACAAGAUACCCACCUGAGAGAAAAGAAAAAGAAAAUAUAGAGCAUCUAAUUCUCCUCAAAAAGUUUCAAAAGAGCAAGAAAGGUAUGUAUCCCUCAAAAGAGCACAAGUAGAAUUAGACUUUCACCAUUGUUAUCAUCAUCAUCACCAUACACCAUUCAUCCGCCACACAUGCACAUCUUGAUUUGACUUAUUGACUUGUUCUUCUGGAUCCAUGGUUUGACUAUGCAAUAAAUGUCUUGUAAGUAUGUAUUAGCUGUCUCCCACCUAUGAGCUCCAGAUAUCAAAACCUUAUCUCUACUAUAAUUGAAAUCUUCUCGAGGCAAAUCUCACCUACAAGAUCAACGACUCACAACACAUGUCAUACAGAUUAGACGGCCCAGAUUAGAAGUAUGAUCACGACCUUACAUCUCUACUCUCUGCCCUACUCUCCGUCCUCAGCCUCGC